rnacentral:rRNA from 1 species
UUGAAACCGCAAGUUUGGUGCCCGAUGCCAUUAGGUUGAGGGCACGUCUGCCUGGGUGUCACAUAUCGAAGCCUCCUGCCAAUUUCCCUUAGAUUAUUGUGUAGGGUGGAUGUUGGCCUCCCGUGAGCUCGUCUCAUGGUUGGUUGAAAAUUGAGACCUUGGUAGGGUGUGCCAUGAUAGAUGGUGGUUGUGUGACCCACGAGACCAAUCAUGCGCUACUCUAUUUAAUUUGGCCUCUUUUACCCAUAUGCGUUACUAAACGCUCGUGAUGAGACCUCAGGUCAGGCGGGGCUACCCGCUGAAUUUAAGCAUAUCAAUAAGCGGAGGAAAAGAAACUAACAAGGAUUCCCUUAGUAACGGCGAGCGAACCGGGAUAAGCCCACCAUGAGAAUCGGUCGCCCUCGGCGUUCGAAUUGUAGUCGAGAAAAAACCGUCAAAAGGGGG